rnacentral:rRNA from 1 species
UACGGGGGGGGCAAGCGUUGUUCGGAAUUACUGGGCGUAAAGGGUUCGUAGGUGGCCCGCUAAGUCACACGUGAAAUCCCUCAGCUUAACUGGGGAACUGCGUGUGAGACUGGCAGGCUUGAGUGCAGGAGAGGAACGCGGAAUUCCAGGUGUAGCGGUGAAAUGCGUAGAUAUCUGGAGGAACACCGGUGGCGAAGGCGGCGUUCUGGGACUGUAUCUGACACUGAGGAACGAAAGCCAGGGGAGCAAACGGG